rnacentral:hammerhead_ribozyme from 1 species
GCACUGCUAAAGAGUCCGACAAUAGGACGAAACGGCCGUCCAAUGC